rnacentral:snRNA from 1 species
AAACUGAGAGCAAUCUGACUGCAACAUGUGUCAUCUCAUUAAUUCUUGGCUGACCUGGCUGGCUAGGCAGCUGUCCCUUUCUCCCGCUCUGUUCCAUGGUGUCUCUCUCUUGAAGCAACACACUUGGGAGAGGAAAACUACCCUGUUUCCUUGAUCAGAGGUAUACAAGUAGCUGCGUUCCCCUACUGGAACCUCCAAAAAACUCUCAAGAGUAAAAGACAUUAAAAAAAAAAAAAAAAAAGUAAAAGACAUAAACCAAAAAAGAUUCUU